GACGAACGCUGGCGGCGUGCUUAACACAUGCAAGUCGAACGAAGUGGCGGACGGGUAAGUAACGGGUACUCAACCUGCCCUUCAGAGGGGGACAACAGUUGGAAACGACUGCUAAUACCGCAUACCGAAGGAGGGGAUUGCGGUUGAUUAGCUAGUUGGGGGGGUAACGGCCUAACAAGGCGAUGAUCAGUAGGCGGUUCUGAACGGUGGACCGGCCAAUUUGGACCUGGGCAAGGCCCAGGCCCCUACGGGAAGGAGCAGGUGGGGAUCUUCCGCAAAUGACGAAAGUCCGGCGGCGCAACGGCGGGGGGGUGAUGGCGGCCCUUGGGUUUUAAAGCUAUGUUAAUCGGGACGCGGUACCGGAAGAGAAAGCCACGGCUAACUACGUGCCAGCCGCCGCGGUAAUUC
rnacentral:rRNA from 1 species